rnacentral:rRNA from 1 species
AUUGAACGCUGGCGGCAGGCUUAACACAUGCAAGUCGAGCGGAGAUGAGGUGCUUGCACCUUAUCUUAGCGGCGGACGGGUGAGUAAUGCUUAGGAAUCUGCCUAUUAGUGGGGGACAACAUUCCGAAAGGAAUGCUAAUACCGCAUACGUCCUACGGGAGAAAGCAGGGGAUCUUCGGACCUUGCGCUAAUAGAUGAGCCUAAGUCGGAUUAGCUAGUUGGUGGGGUAAAGGCCUACCAAGGCGACGAUCUGUAGCGGGUCUGAGAGGAUGAUCCGCCACCCUGGGACUGAGACCCGACCCAGACUCCUACGGGAGGCAGCAGUGGGGAAUAUUGGACAAUGGGGGGAACCCUGAUCCAGCCAUGCCGCGUGUGUGAAGAAGGCCUUAUGGUUGUAAAGCACUUUAAGCGAGGAGGAGGCUACUGAGACUAAUACUCUUGGAUAGUGGACGUUACUCGCAGAAUAAGCACCGGCUAACUCUGUGCCAGCAGCCGCCGUAAGAC